rnacentral:rRNA from 1 species
UACGUAGGCAGCAAGCGUUGUUCGGAGUUACUGGGCGUAAAGAGUGCGUAGGCGGUUUCGUAAGUUUGGUGUGAAAUCUCCCGGCUUAACUGGGAGGGUGCGCCGAAAACUGCGGGGCUGGAGUAUGGGAGAGGUAAGCGGAAUUCCUGGUGUAGCGGUGAAAUGCGUAGAUAUCUGGAGGAACACCGGUGGCGAAGGCGGUAUCCUGGACCAACACUGACACUGAGGAGCGAAAGCCAGGGGAGCAAACGGG